CCCAUCGUCGGGACGACGAUUUAAUCAGUGGGGGUGGAUUGUGGCAGGACGCAAUCGGUGGUCCGAUCAGUUUCAGCUGGGUUGGGAUUUUGGCCAAUCAUUGUGGGAGGAGACUGCUUAAAAGCGGGUAGAGAGCACCUGUCUUCCUUUUUUGGCCUGUCAGAGGCUGGGUCGUAGCACUUCCUGGCAUUCCCCCAGUUCUGUCCUGGCGUGGUGGUAGAGGCCAUUGGGGGUGCGCUAUGCUCCACUGAUUGCUCGCUGCGGAUAGGUGUGUUGUUCUCCGGUGUCCUCCUAUUUGGCGUUGUACUUGUGGCAACUUGUGCAUUUGUUUGCAGGUUGUUUCUGUGCGGUGUUUAUUCCUCUCCUCCACGCUGUGUCGUCCAGGACUGCCUGAUUGGGGGAAGUAUAAUCCAGCUGCUGCGCAGUGUCGGCCGAUCAGCGAGGGAAACCACUGCUGCUUUGCCGGGGAUUGUUGGCUGCAACCGCGGCUAACAGCUUUGCCUCAUACCGGAGAUCGUUGGCUGUAACAGCGACUAACUGCUCUGCCUCAUACCGGAGAUCGUUGGCUGUAACAGCGACUAACUGCUCUGCCUCAUACCGGAGAUUGUCGUUGGUGACAGAGAUUGCCCGCUUCCGCUUUACGCUGGAUGCGGCGUGCCGUCAGGGGGAUUAACUGCUUGUCUCGCCUUGGGCUCGAUUGCUUCGCCCCGGGCGUGCGCCGUCCCACUGCAGCCGGCUUGGCCUCUGGCUGGCCGUUCGGCCGGUUGGAGCUUCUCCCUGCGGUGUAGCCGAUAUACAUCCAUAUGUAUAUGUUUGCGUGCACUACUGUGUGCGUGUGUGUGUAUGGCGAAGAGUGAGUAGCGGGAGAUUAUUCUGGUGCUGAACCUACGGUGGUGGAUGGUCCUGGUGGCGGUGUCC